rnacentral:misc_RNA from 1 species
GAUGAAGAACGCAGCGAAAUGCGAUAAGUAAUGUGAAUUGCAGAAUUCAGUGAAUCAUCGAAUCUUUGAACGCACCUUGCGCCCUUUGGACAUUCCGAAGGGCAUGCCUGUUUGAGUAUCAUGAACACCUCAACUCUCACGGCUUGUCCGUGAUGAGCUUGGACUUUGGGGGUCUUGCCGGCCUGUGGUCGGCUCCUCUCAAAUGGAUCAGCUUGCCAGUGUUUGGUGGCAUCACAGGUGUGAUAACUAUCUGCGCUUGUGGUUUUCCAUCAGAUAACCUUCAGUGAUAUGGAGGUUCGCUGGAGCUCACAAAUGUCUCUCCUUAGUGAGGACAGCUCUUUGAACGUUUGAUCUCAAAUCAGGUAGGACUACCCGCUGAACUUAAGCAUAUCAAUAGCGGAGGA